rnacentral:rRNA from 1 species
AUUGAACGCUGGCGGCAGGCCUAACACAUGCAAGUCGAGCGAGCGGCGGACGGGUGAGUAAUGUAUGGGGACUGCCCGAUAGAGGGGGAUAACUACUGGAAACGGUAGCUAAUACCGCAUACUAUCGGAUAACCCAUAUGGGAUUAGCUAGUAGGUGAGGUAAUGGCUCACCUAGGCGACGAUCCCUAGCUGGUCUGAGAGGAUGAUGAGCCACAACGGGAACGGGACAGGGCCCGAAACCCUACGGGGGCAGCAGUGGGGAAUAUUGGCAAAUGGGGGAAAGCCUGAUGGAGACAAGCCGGGGGGAUGAAAAAGGCCCUAGGGUUGUAAAGUACUUUCAGUCGGGAGGCGUUACCGAAAGAAGAAGCACCGGCUAACUCCGUGCCAGCAGCCGCGGUAAUAC